rnacentral:rRNA from 1 species
UGGGGAAUUUUGGACAAUGGGCGAAAGCCUGAUCCAGCAAUGCCGCGUGUGUGAAGAAGGCCUUCGGGUUGUAAAGCACUUUUUGUCCGGAAAGAAAUCCUUGGCUCUAAUACAGUCGGGGGAUGACGGUACCGGAAGAAUAAGCACCGGCUAACUACGUGCCAGCAGCCGCGGUAAUACGUAGGGUGCAAGCGUUAAUCGGAAUUACUGGGCGUAAAGCGUGCGCAGGGCGGUUUGCUAAGACCGAUGUGAAAUCCCCGGGCUCAACCUGGGAACUGCAUUGGUGACUGGCAGGCUAGAGUAUGGCAGAGGGGGGUAGAAUUCCACGUGUAGCAGUGAAAUGCGUAGAGAUGUGGAGGAAUACCGAUGGCGAAGGCAGCCCCCUGGGCCAAUACUGACGCUCAUGCACGAAAGCGUGGGGAGCAAACAGGAUUAGAUACCCUGGUAGUCCACGCCCUAAACGAUGUCAACUAGUUGUUGGGGAUUCAUUUCCUUAGUAACGUAGCUAACGCGUGAAGUUGACCGCCUGGGGAGUACGGUCGCAAGAUUAAAACUCAAAUGAAUUGACGGGGU